CAAGCUGACGAUUCAAUCGCGGGCUUAAUAGGGAUAUUAAGCGUGAGGAAAGUCCGGGCUCCGCAGGGCAAGGGUGACAGUUAACGGCUGCCGUGAGUGAUCACCGGGAAAGUGCAACAGAAAAGAACCGCCGUGCAUUAUGUGCAUUGGUAAGGGUGAAAAGGUAGGGUAAGAGCCUACCGGUUACAUGGUAACAUGUAGCGUCAAUGUAAACCCCACCCGGAGCAAGACCAAGUAGAGGGCUAAGUGCUAUUCCAAUAGUAUACUGGUCGAAAGGGGGCUGCCCGUCUCUUCUCGGAAGGUAGGUCGCUUGAGGCUUUUGGUGACAAAAGUCCUAGAAAGAUGAUUGAUUCACACAUAACCCGGCUUACUAGUUGGCUUACAUU
rnacentral:RNase_P_RNA from 1 species